rnacentral:lncRNA from 1 species
UUUGAGCUGUCGGAUAGCAUGAAUUGCCUUAUGCAACAUCUUCUCCAAACUAGCAUAAGUUUGAAGAUCGUUUUGAUCAAGCACUACACGAUUGCUUAUCUUGGCUUUGGUGAAGGGACGAUCACCACUUCUGACCCACUUCUCAUCAUUGGACUUGUUUUCUCUCUUCCUUUGUUUCUGCACAAAAUCAAAUUCAUUAGA